UGGCCCAUCGGGGCAAUGGAUACCUGCUUUAAAAUUUUU
ensembl:misc_RNA